rnacentral:lncRNA from 1 species
AGCACCAGCGCCAUCUACAACAGGACACUGGCAGGGAAAUCUCAGCAUCCAUCCAAGUCUACAGAGAAAGGCUGCAGGAAAGGAUUUAACCAACGUUGGUGACUGGCAGAACCGUCGUUGACCUACGCGUCCCUUUCUCACAGGAAGCCCCUCUGUAUCUGAGGUGCAGAGCUGCAUGUGCUCAGGACUCAGCCAUUUCCGGUGCAAGUGGAGAGGGGCCCUGUAAGUAAGACUCAUUUGAAAAUGCUCACCCGUCUCCAACCUGCAUUCAUAUUGAUUUGUGUUCCUCAGUAUUCCUGAAAGGGGCCUUCAGUCAGCAUCUUAUAUUUAUUAGCCUAGUACAGUGAACUGAAAUGUGUGCAAUUGGAAUUAUGGGCCCUGACAUUCUGUGGGGACAGAGCUUUUGCUGUUGUUUGUUUGUUUAUACUGUAACCAAUAUUUUGAACGUCUUUACUAAACUUGACUUGUGAAUGACUUGCUUCUCCUCCUUCCCCUCUAGGUCUAGGUCGGGCUGUCCUUCAUGACCCAGGUCCAUCUGUGGUUCAGACCUAUGCUGCUCCCACGGACUCCCCCAGGCUGUAUCUCAGAUAAAGAGUUCUUUCUGACAGCUCCAGGGCUCUGAAGGUCAAGGAUCAAGCCCCCACUGGAGGAUGCUGGGCAGGUUGUGGUUUGAGUGAGAACGCCCCCCACAGGCUCAUGUUAAAAUGCUUAGUCACCAGGGAGUAGAACUCAUUGAAAGGAUUUGAAAGACAGGAGGUAUGGCCUUGAUGGUGAAAGUAUAUCACUGGGCAUGGCUAGAGAUUUUAAGAGCACAUGUGUCUCUUUGUCUCUCCAGUAUGGAUGAGGAUUUAACUCUCCCUCCCAUGCCCGCUGCUGCCAUGCUCUUGCCAUGAUAAUGCACUAAACCCCUAAAAGUGUACGCAAGCCUCUAAUUAAAUGUUUCCUUUUAUAAGCGUUGCCUUGGUCAUGAUGUCCCUUCACAGCAACAGAAGAGUGGCCCAGAUAGCCCAUGUUCUACCACCAGGUCACUCCCACAGCCCCUCACUAGGGGAUUCUGGGCAGUGCUCUACAACUGAGCCGGUCCCCCACCCCUCAUAGGGGGUUUCUAUGCAGAAACUCUGACUCUGCUGCCUAAUUAGGCAACUGCAGCUGUGCAGUUUCCCUGUUAGCUUUUAUAAUGUAAUACAGUAUGGGAUCUCAAUUUUAAAAAAAAAUGUAUCCACAGCAAGAUCUGCUGGCCCUCUCCUUUAAUCACAGCACUUGGGAGGCAGAGGCAGACAGAUCUGUCAGUUCGAGGCCAGCCUGGACUACUGGGGGAGUUCCAGGACAGCCAGGGCUACACAGAGAAACCCUGCCUCGGAAAAACAAAAC